rnacentral:lncRNA from 1 species
AUGCAAAUAUAAGGUAAAAGUCCGAGUCAGCCUUUUCCCGCCAUAUUUUAAAUCUCAAAUAUCUCGAAAAGGAGGUCCAUGACCUAUCAAUAUUUUUAGCUUAUCUUUAUCCUUAAUUGAUGCUCUACCAGCUUAUACUAGUAGUAUCAAUUUUAAUUUCUUAAUUUCUUAAGUUUUACCUAACCUCACCUAAGUACAUCCUUAA